UUGCAUCCUAAACUAAUUUUUUUUCUUCCAAAAGUGCCCUUAACGUUAUAAAUUUUAGCUCAAUUGUGCCCCUACCACUAACGGACAUGCCAUGUAGACUAAUUCCGUUAAUACCUGGACAUUUUUUGAUGACGAAAAUAAAAUUUUGGUGACAAGGCGUGACUACUCAUAUUACAGCACAUUCCCUUUCUCUUCCUUCAUCACCAUAAAGUCUUUUCCUCUCCAAAAACUCAUUCUCUCUCUCUGCAAUGGAAGAACCAAAUAAACAAUUCGCAAAUAUCCAAAUUUUCUCUCAUAAACUCGCCAGAUCCAGAUCUAAAUCUCCUUUCCAAACCCUUCGAUUUAAUUCCAAACCAACAAAAUUGGUACUACUUAUUGGUGGUGGUUUUUGAUUUUAUGUGAAAGCUGGAUAUUUUUUGUUUGAAUUCAUUCAUGGUGGUGAGAUUUCCCACAUAGUUGGUGAAGAAAAUGAAGAAAAAACAUGAAGUCCGUCUCCUUUUCUCUCCAUUUCUUCCAAACUCCAUCUUCCCCCAUUUUCUCUCUCUAAAUUUCAGUUCUCUCUCAAUCACAAUCGAUCUGUUCCUCCAAAUUUUUUGAAAGCGGGUCUCAAGUACAUAAAAGAAAAAAAAACGAAUUAAAUAACCAGUGCUUUUAAUAAUAUAUUUAGUUAUUCACACAAUAAUUAAAAAAAUGAAAGAUAAAUAUAAGAGAGAAUGAGGCUCAGAUUUGUAAAAAAUCAGACAUGGAAUAUGAAUCUGUCAUGGUUGCAACCCCUAGUUGCAUGUGAGAAAAAUGGAUCGAUUGUUGAAUUUAAUCAAUCACAUGACCUCUGUAAUGCCCAGAGAGAGUGAGGCCCAGAUUCACCAUGCCUGAUCGGGUUUGCUCGGAUUUAGACUGUAAUCAGAUCAUUUUCAGUUCCAUCACCACCACCAACCACAAGAAAAGAAAGAGGGGGAGUUACCCAGUUGGGUUUGCUCGGAGUUUAGAUCUGAUCGAAAUUGCUCGGAGUUUAGAUCUGAGAAGAAUGGUGGGUUUAGAGAGAGAAUGGAUAUGGAUUUUUGGUAAUAAAAAUCCUCCUGCUCCUGAUACUCUGCAAUGGUGAAGAAGGAUGAAGAUGGAUUUCUAAGUCAAUUGAUGAUUCCUGGAUGUGGGCUUUUUUGCCCCUUUUGCAAAGAACGAAUGCUUUUGUUCUCUCUUUCUCUCUAAGUGUCUAGUCAGCAAAAAUAUCCACGUGUUAACAGAGUUAGUCCAUGUGGCAGGUCAGUUGACAGCAGGGGUACGGGUGGUCUACUUUUACUAACGUUAAGGGUACUUUUGAAAAAAAAAAUAGUUUAGGGUGGAAGUGGGACAUUCGUGUAUAGGGUCAGGAUCAGGUAAGGGAUUCCUUACUUUCUUAAAAU
rnacentral:lncRNA from 1 species